CGCCUGGCUGCAAGGCUUCAUGUAUCAUCCUGGAGGCUUCACAAAGAACAUAACUCUUCCAGCAAACAACAAGAGAAAAAACAAGGAAAGAGACUGCAACAAGGCCAAAAAAGGGGCAGAGAGGAAGAAUGAAUGACCACACAAUAAAAAAAGUGUUUAAAAAAAAAAAAAAAAAAAAA